UACGAAGGGGGCUAGCGUUGCUCGGAAUCACUGGGCGUAAAGGGUGCGUAGGCGGGUCUUUAAGUCAGGGGUGAAAUCCUGGAGCUCAACUCCAGAACUGCCUUCGAUACUGGCGAUCUUGAGUCUGGGAGAGGUGAGUGGAACUCCGAGUGUAGAGGUGAAAUUCGUAGAUAUUCGGAAGAACACCAGUGGCGAAGGCGGCUCACUGGCCCGGUACUGACGCUGAGGUGCGAAAGCGUGGGGAGCAAACAGG
rnacentral:rRNA from 1 species